GACGAACGCUGGCGGCGUGCUUAACACAUGCAAGUCGAACGGAAAGGCCCUGCUUUUGUGGGGUGCUCGAGUGGCGAACGGGUGAGUAACACUUGAGUAACCUGCCCUUGACUUUGGGAUAACUUCAGGAAACUGGGGCUAAUACCGGAUAGGAGCUCCUGCUGCAUGGUUGGGGUUGGAAAGUUUCGGCGGUUGGGGAUGGACUCGCGGCUCAUCAGCUUGUUGGUGGGGUAGUGGAUUACCAAGGCUUUGACGGGUAGCCGGCCUGAGAGGGGGACCGGCCCAAUUGGGACUGGGAUACGGCCCAGACUAGUACGGGAGGCAGGAGUGGGGGAUAUUGCCCGAUGGGCGGAAGCCUGAUGCAGGAACGACGCGUGCGGGGUGACGGACUUCGGGUUGGAAACCGAUUUCGGCUGUGACGAAGCGUGAAUGACGGUAAUGGGUGAAGAAGCACCGGCUAACUACGUG
rnacentral:rRNA from 1 species